UACGAAGGGGGUUAGCGUUGUUCGGAAUUACUGGGCGUAAAGCGCGCGCAGGCGGCUAUCCAAGUCAGUGGUGAAAGCCCGGAGCUCAACUCCGGAACUGCCAUUGAAACUGUUUAGCUUGAGGAUGAGAGAGGUGAGUGGAAUUCCCAGUGUAGAGGUGAAAUUCGUAGAUAUUGGGAAGAACACCGGUGGCGAAGGCGGCUCACUGGCUCAUUACUGACGCUCAGGCGCGAUAGCGUGGGGAUCAAACAGG
rnacentral:rRNA from 1 species